AGACCUGUCCAGCGAGUCCCCUGACUGUAGAAGUACAGUCUGUUUAGCGUGUGAUUUUUCAAGUCUGCAGAUUUCAUCCAAGCUGUGAAAACGAAAAGAUUAUUGUGAAACCGAAUGAUAAUACACGUGAAAACCAGCAUUGAAGUGUAUCACAAUACCAUACGUAUCACAAUCCUAUAAUGAAGUCCCACAAACAUUUGCAAUGUGAAAAAUUGCUCGGAUUGGCCGAGAGAAACAGCGUGGAAACAAGAACUCCGGGUGCCAUCAAGGACCUAACGAAGCAUGCAAAGGAAUACACUCAGUUUGCAAUGAUUCACAACCAUGCAACUAUUACCAGGCUGAAAAUUACCAAUAAAAUAUAUUCUGGAGCGUCAAAUUGCAAGAUGUUCUGAAGUCGAAAUUUGAUCUGAGUUACAUUCACGACUAUAUACAAAAAACAAAUGCUAUAGUGGGCGAAAGCACUCUCAAAGGAACUCCCUUGAAUUUUCCCUCAGGCUAUAAAGAAUCGAGUACAAUUCUGCUCAAACUCGUUACGAGUGUUGGAGUGAUUCCUCUCCACCCACCCACACAUUUUGCAUCAGGAAAGUAACGUGACUUCCGUCAACGCGUGAUCAAUUAUGACAAUUUGCCAAUAACAUAAUUGUUGCCUCGAAGCAUGCAAGCGGCGAAUCUAGGCGCUUCGAUUGAUCAGUUACCAUGCAAACAAGAAGUGAGUCUGAAUACAUCUGAUGCA